GAGAAAACGUUGAAGGAACAAGUAUGAAGCAGCCCGUUUCAAGAGAAGUGUACCCGUGGCUGAGAGGUACACUAAACGAAGAGUUUCAGAAAGCUACUCCCGAGUGCAGAUAAUCUCUGCCGUCCGCCGCGUUAAGGCUAUUAAGUGAUAGACAGUUUAAUGUCUAUAAUUAGGGUGGUACCGCGUGAUCAUAACUCUCGUCCCUUUU
rnacentral:ncRNA from 1 species